UGCGUAGGCGGAUAAAUAGGUCAGUGGUGAAAUCUUUCGGCUCAGCCGGGAAACUGCCAUUGAUACUGUUUAUCUUGAGUUCGGUAGAGGUAGGCGGAAUGUGUAAUGUAGCGGUGAAAUGCUUAGAUAUUACACAGAACACCAAUUGCGUAGGCAGCUUACUAUGCCGACACUGACGCUGAGGCACGAAAGCGUGGGGAGCGAACAGGAUUAGAUACCCUGGUAGUCC
rnacentral:rRNA from 1 species